rnacentral:rRNA from 1 species
CAGCAGCCGCGGGAAUACGUAGGUGGCAGGCGUUGUCCGGAAUUAUUGGGCGUAAAGCGCGCGCAGGUGGUUUAAUAAGUCUGAUGUGAAAGCCCACGGCUCAACCGUGGAGGGUCAUUGGAAACUGUUAAACUUGAGUGCAGGAGAGAAAAGUGGAAUUCCUAGUGUAGCGGUGAAAUGCGUAGAGAUUAGGAGGAACACCAGUGGCGAAGGCGGCUUUUUGGCCUGUAACUGACACUGAGGCGCGAAAGCGUGGGUAGCGAACAGGAUUAGAUACCCCCGUAGUCCCUGUCUCUUAUAC